rnacentral:tRNA from 1 species
AGGGAUGUAACUCAAUUGGUAGAGUAUCGGUCUCCAAAACCGAAAGUUAAGGGUUCAAGUCCCUUCAUCCCUG